rnacentral:lncRNA from 1 species
UUUGACUACGCCCUGGCACGUAUAGCAAAGACCAGGAGCCUUUGACUACGCCCUGGCAGGUAUAGAGUAAAGUCCAGGAGCCUUUGACUACGCCCUGGCAAUGGUAAGUUCACAGGUGUUAUAUACACAUAUACAUAUAUGACAGGAAGACCAGGUGCUCGAUUCUACGCCCUGGCACAGAGUUACUGGGACUAUGUGGUGACAGGUUUACUCUUGAUGUGGCUUGUCUGUGAUAUGGUGCAUUCCAUGAGAUCAUAUUUUACUGAGAUGUUUUACUGUUCUACUCACUGGGCUAUAGAGCUCAUCCCACUCCCUUAACCCCAGUUUUGCAGGUUCAGUGUACAGUGUACAGGGACAGUCCAGCAGAGUACAGGAAA